CAAUGGGGGCCCUCGAAGGUGGAUCCUGUUUCCCAGGCAAGUCUGAAGAGAGCAUCUGCUGCAGUCAUCAAGAGAAGGACCGAAGGAUCUGGCCCCACUUUGGUGGACAGGAAUGGAUGAGAAGGAAUUCCAGAAAAGGGAAGAGUCCUUGUCAUAGACAGCACCCCUAGAUGCGCCAUGACUUUCCACACCUUAACUCCUUUGAUCUUCACCACGGCCUUUGAGACUCGGUGUUGAGCAAUUCCUAAGAAACUUUUUAUAGGACAGGAAAAGACUUUAUUACCGAGGAAGACAAAGCAAUUCUGAAGAUUUUGAAAGCUGUGACUCAAAGCGCACUGUUGAACACAGACAUCAGAAUCAAAGGAUUCUAGGACAACUGACAGCUAAGAAUCAUGACCCAGGAUGGCAAGAAUCAAGCUUUGGAGCCUCAAGUUUGAAAAUGGAGUGAUUUUUGUUCUUCAAAGUUUCCGAGGAAAUCUGGGCAGGCAUCUGAUCUAUGGGUGAUGCCAGCUCGACACGAUGUUGACAUAAGGGAAGCCAUAUUGUAGAACAGAAACCACACUGUAACUUUACAUGACCUCUGACUAACUAGCCUUACAUGUUCUGGAGAUUUUGUGGCCCCUUCUAGCUUCUUUAAGAUGAUAACUCGGUUAUUUUGAGUUCCUUGGGAAUGUGAUGACCCUGUCA